UGGAGGUGAUGAACUGGCUAAGCCUGACUACCUUUGUAGAGUGGAGGCAAAAAAACUGAUUUAAUGAGCCUGAUCC